GUCGAGCGAACAGAUGAGAAGCUUGCUUCUCUGAUGUUAGCGGCGGACGGGUGAGUAACACGUGGGUAACCUACCUAUAAGACUGGGAUAACUCCGGGAAACCGGGGCUAAUACCGGAUAAUAUUUUGAACCGCAUGGUUCAAUAGUGAAAGACGGUUUCGGCUGUCACUUAUAGAUGGACCCGCGCCGUAUUAGCUAGUUGGUAAGGUAACGGCUUACCAAGGCGACGAUACGUAGCCGACCUGAGAGGGUGAUCGGCCACACUGGAACUGAGACACGGUCCAGACUCCUACGGGAGGCAGCAGUAGGGAAUCUUCCGCAAUGGGCGAAAGCCUGACGGAGCAACGCCGCGUGAGUGAUGAAGGUCUUCGGAUCGUAAAACUCUGUUGUUAGGGAAGAACAAAUUUGUUAGUAACUGAACAAGUCUUGACGGUACCUAACCAGAAAGCCACGGCUAACUACGUGCCAGCAGCCGCGGUAAUACGUAGGUGGCAAGCGUUAUCCGGAAUUAUUGGGCGUAAAGCGCGCGUAGGCGGUUUCUUAAGUCUGAUGUGAAAGCCCACGGCUCAACCGUGGAGGGUCAUUGGAAACUGGGAAACUUGAGUGCAGAAGAGGAGAGUGGAAUUCCAUGUGUAGCGGUGAAAUGCGCAGAGAUAUGGAGGAACACCAGUGGCGAAGGCGGCUCUCUGGUCUGUAACUGACGCUGAUGUGCGAAAGCGUGGGGAUCAAACAGGAUUAGAUACCCUGGUAGUCCACGCCGUAAACGAUGAGUGCUAAGUGUUAGGGGGUUUCCGCCCCUUAGUGCUGCAGCUAACGCAUUAAGCACUCCGCCUGGGGAGUACGACCGCAAGGUUGAAACUCAAAGGAAUUGACGGGGACCCGCACAAGCGGUGGAGCAUGUGGUUUAAUUCGAAGCAACGCGAAGAACCUUACCAAAUCUUGACAUCCUUUGACCGCUCUAGAGAUAGAGUCUUCCCCUUCGGGGGACAAAGUGACAGGUGGUGCAUGGUUGUCGUCAGCUCGUGUCGUGAGAUGUUGGGUUAAGUCCCGCAACGAGCGCAACCCUUAAGCUUAGUUGCCAUCAUUAAGUUGGGCACUCUAGGUUGACUGCCGGUGACAAACCGGAGGAAGGUGGGGAUGACGUCAAAUCAUCAUGCCCCUUAUGAUUUGGGCUACACACGUGCUACAAUGGAUAAUACAAAGGGCAGCGAAUCCGCGAGGCCAAGCAAAUCCCAUAAAAUUAUUCUCAGUUCGGAUUGUAGUCUGCAACUCGACUACAUGAAGCUGGAAUCGCUAGUAAUCGUAGAUCAGCAUGCUACGGUGAAUACGUUCCCGGGUCUUGUACACACCGCCCGUCACACCACGAGAGUUUGUAACACCCGAAGCCGGUGGAGUAACCUUUUAGGAGCUAGCCGUC
rnacentral:rRNA from 2 species